AUCUUUCUAGUAUUCAAAGUUAGUACGAGUGGCUUCCAACCAUUUAGUCUUGGUUAAAAUCCAAGGAAAGAUA
rnacentral:tRNA from 1 species